CAUGGGCUCCGUGACGUCAGCGCAGCGCAGGACUCACUCCAGCAGCGGCGUGUCCUCCUCAACAAACGCGAGCAAUGCGCGCACGGGCGAGCCGAACGCCAGCGAAACACGCUCCGCAGACCGGCGCCCGCCGCGGAUUACACCGGGGAACUCUCCGAGUCAACGGCGAAGAAGUGAAGGCUGACGCGUCGAGUCCGCAGCGCGCUCUGAUUUCGCGUACUAGACGCGCAGGAGUAUGCGUGAUCCCAGCUGAUCGAGACUCGAACCCGCAGCGUUUAACCCCGCGGACCACUGCUCGACUCCACACCCGCGCUCGCUCCAGAAACAGCUCAGAUUAGCUCAUUAGUCCGGCUCACCAGCUGAUUAACGAUGGCGGGGAAGCUGGCAGCGCAGGGCGCGGGAAUCCUGCUGGUCACCGCCAACGUCGGAUCGCUGUUUGAAGAUCCGGAGAACCUACAGAAGACGUGGCUGCGGGAGUUUUGCCAGACGGUUCAAGCUCACCGACCGCUCUUCGUGGCUCUUCACUGUCAGGA